rnacentral:rRNA from 1 species
GGGUUGUGAGGUUAAGCGACUAAGCGUACACGGUGGAUGCCCUGGCAGUCAGAGGCGAUGAAGGACGUGCUAAUCUGCGAUAAGCGUCGGUAAGGUGAUAUGAACCGUUAUAACCGGCGAUUUCCGAAUGGGGAAACCCAGUGUGAUUCGUCACACUAUCAUUAACUGAAUCCAUAGGUUAAUGAGGCGAACCGGGGGAACUGAAACAUCUAAGUACCCCGAGGAAAAGAAAUCAACCGAGAUUCCCCCAGUAGCGGCGAGCGAACGGGGAGCAGCCCAGAGCCUGAAUCAGUGUGUGUGUUAGUGGAAGCGUCUGGAAAGGCGCGCGAUACAGGGUGACAGCCCCGUACACAAAAAUGCACAUGCUGUGAGCUCGAUGAGUAGGGCGGGACACGUGGUAUCCUGUCUGAAUAUGGGGGGACCAUCCUCCAAGGCUAAAUACUCCUGACUGACCGAUAGUGAACCAGUACCGUGAGGGAAAGGCGAAAAGAACCCCGGCGAGGGGAGUGAAAAAGAACCUGAAACCGUGUACGUACAAGCAGUGGGAGCCUCUUUAUGGGGUGACUGCGUACCUUUUGUAUAAUGGGUCAGCGACUUAUAUUCUGUAGCAAGGUUAACCGAAUAGGGGAGCCGAAGGGAAACCGAGUCUUAACUGGGCGUUAAGUUGCAGGGUAUAGACCCGAAACCCGGUGAUCUAGCCAUGGGCAGGUUGAAGGUUGGGUAACACUAACUGGAGGACCGAACCGACUAAUGUUGAAAAAUUAGCGGAUGACUUGUGGCUGGGGGUGAAAGGCCAAUCAAACCGGGAGAUAGCUGGUUCUCCCCGAAAGCUAUUUAGGUAGCGCCUCGUGAAUUCAUCUCCGGGGGUAGAGCACUGUUUCGGCAAGGGGGUCAUCCCGACUUACCAACCCGAUGCAAACUACGAAUACCGGAGAAUGUUAUCACGGGAGACACACGGCGGGUGCUAACGUCCGUCGUGAAGAGGGAAACAACCCAGACCGCCAGCUAAGGUCCCAAAGUCAUGGUUAAGUGGGAAACGAUGUGGGAAGGCCCAGACAGCCAGGAUGUUGGCUUAGAAGCAGCCAUCAUUUAAAGAAAGCGUAAUAGCUCACUGGUCGAGUCGGCCUGCGCGGAAGAUGUAACGGGGCUAAACCAUGCACCGAAGCUGCGGCAGCGACGCUGAUGCGUUGUUGGGUAGGGGAGCGUUCUGUAAGCCUGCGAAGGUGUGCUGUGAGGCAUGCUGGAGGUAUCAGAAGUGCGAAUGCUGACAUAAGUAACGAUAAAGCGGGUGAAAAGCCCGCUCGCCGGAAGACCAAGGGUUCCUGUCCAACGUUAAUCGGGGCAGGGUGAGUCGACCCCUAAGGCGAGGCCGAAAGGCGUAGUCGAUGGGAAACAGGUUAAUAUUCCUGUACUUGGUGUUACUGCGAAGGGGGGACGGAGAAGGCUAUGUUGGCCGGGCGACGGUUGUCCCGGUUUAAGCGUGUAGGCUGGUUUUCCAGGCAAAUCCGGAAAAUCAAGGCUGAGGCGUGAUGACGAGGCACUACGGUGCUGAAGCAACAAAUGCCCUGCUUCCAGGAAAAGCCUCUAAGCAUCAGGUAACAUCAAAUCGUACCCCAAACCGACACAGGUGGUCAGGUAGAGAAUACCAAGGCGCUUGAGAGAACUCGGGUGAAGGAACUAGGCAAAAUGGUGCCGUAACUUCGGGAGAAGGCACGCUGAUAUGUAGGUGAAGUCCCUCGCGGAUGGAGCUGAAAUCAGUCGAAGAUACCAGCUGGCUGCAACUGUUUAUUAAAAACACAGCACUGUGCAAACACGAAAGUGGACGUAUACGGUGUGACGCCUGCCCGGUGCCGGAAGGUUAAUUGAUGGGGUUAGCGCAAGCGAAGCUCUUGAUCGAAGCCCCGGUAAACGGCGGCCGUAACUAUAACGGUCCUAAGGUAGCGAAAUUCCUUGUCGGGUAAGUUCCGACCUGCACGAAUGGCGUAAUGAUGGCCAGGCUGUCUCCACCCGAGACUCAGUGAAAUUGAACUCGCUGUGAAGAUGCAGUGUACCCGCGGCAAGACGGAAAGACCCCGUGAACCUUUACUAUAGCUUGACACUGAACAUUGAGCCUUGAUGUGUAGGAUAGGUGGGAGGCUUUGAAGUGUGGACGCCAGUCUGCAUGGAGCCGACCUUGAAAUACCACCCUUUAAUGUUUGAUGUUCUAACGUGGACCCGUAAUCCGGGUUGCGGACAGUGUCUGGUGGGUAGUUUGACUGGGGCGGUCUCCUCCUAAAGAGUAACGGAGGAGCACGAAGGUUGGCUAAUCCUGGUCGGACAUCAGGAGGUUAGUGCAAUGGCAUAAGCCAGCUUGACUGCGAGCGUGACGGCGCGAGCAGGUGCGAAAGCAGGUCAUAGUGAUCCGGUGGUUCUGAAUGGAAGGGCCAUCGCUCAACGGAUAAAAGGUACUCCGGGGAUAACAGGCUGAUACCGCCCAAGAGUUCAUAUCGACGGCGGUGUUUGGCACCUCGAUGUCGGCUCAUCACAUCCUGGGGCUGAAGUAGGUCCCAAGGGUAUGGCUGUUCGCCAUUUAAAGUGGUACGCGAGCUGGGUUUAGAACGUCGUGAGACAGUUCGGUCCCUAUCUGCCGUGGGCGCUGGAGAACUGAGGGGGGCUGCUCCUAGUACGAGAGGACCGGAGUGGACGCAUCACUGGUGUUCGGGUUGUCAUGCCAAUGGCACUGCCCGGUAGCUAAAUGCGGAAGAGAUAAGUGCUGAAAGCAUCUAAGCACGAAACUUGCCCCGAGAUGAGUUCUCCCUGACCCUUUAAGGGUCCUGAAGGAACGUUGAAGACGACGACGUUGAUAGGCCGGGUGUGUAAGCGCAGCGAUGCGUUGAGCUAACCGGUACUAAUGAACCGUGAGGCUUAACCUUACAACGCCGAAG